GGAGUGUCGAUCCCACCGAGACGUACAGCAGCAUUCUUGGGAGUAAGGAUCGACUGUGCCUGCACAUGGAAGAGAGGAUAUGCGGUUUGAUGCAGCCCUCUAUUCCCAGUCCUUUGAAGAGGAGUCUGCCAACCCAGGGACGGUCAGGGUUAGGCUGUUGUGGAUACCCAGAUGAAUUGUGGACUGCGGCCUGCCAGAAGUGCAAAGAGUUCAGG